CAUAGCCGCGGUAAUACGGAGGGUGCAAGCGUUAAUCGGAAUUACUGGGCGUAAAGCGUGCGUAGGCGGUUCGUUAAGUCUGUUGUGAAAGCCCCGGGCUCAACCUGGGAAUGGCAAUGGAUACUGGCGAGCUAGAGUGUGUCAGAGGAUGGUGGAAUUCCCGGUGUAGCGGUGAAAUGCGUAGAGAUCGGGAGGAGCAUCAGUGGCGAAGGCGGCCAUCUGGGACAACACUGACGCUGAGGCACGAAAGCGUGGGGAGCAAACAGGAUUAGAUACCCGCGUAGUCCCUGUCUCUUAUACA
rnacentral:rRNA from 1 species